rnacentral:lncRNA from 10 species
GGCUUCAACUCUAAAAUCAUAUUUCUUAAGCAGGUAAAGUAGUCAUAGAUAUUUAUUAUUCUCUGUUGCCUUUGUAUAUGUUAAAAAAAAUUUAUGCCUUUGUGUCCUCAUAGCUUAGCUCCCACAUAUCAUAUCAGUGAGAACAUACGAUGUUUGGUUUUCCAUUCCUGAGUUACUUCACUUAGAAUAAUAGUCUCCAGUCUCAUCCAGGUCACUGCAAAUGCUGUUAGUUCAUUC